rnacentral:rRNA from 1 species
AAAUUGAAGAGUUUGAUCAUGGCUCAGAUUGAACGCUGGCGGCAGGCCUAACACAUGCAAGUCGAACGGUAACAGGAAGCAGCUUGCUGCUUCGCUGACGAGUGGCGGACGGGUGAGUAAUGUCUGGGAAACUGCCUGAUGGAGGGGGAUAACUACUGGAAACGGUAGCUAAUACCGCAUAAUGUCGCAAGACCAAAGAGGGGGACCUUCGGGCCUCUUGCCAUCGGAUGUGCCCAGAUGGGAUUAGCUAGUAGGUGGGGUAA